UACGGAGGAAGCUAACGUUGUUCGGAAUUACUGGACGUAAAGCGCACGUAGGCGGUUUUUUAAGUCAGAGAUGAAAGCCCAAUGCUCAACACUGGAACUGCCUUUGAAACUGGAAAACUUGAAUCCUGAAGAGGUCAGUGGAAUUCCGAGUGUAGAGAUGAAAUUCGUAGAUAUUCGGAAGAACACCAGUGACGAAGACGACUGACUGGACAAGUAUUGACGCUGAGGUGCGAAAGCGUGGGAAGCAAACAGG
rnacentral:rRNA from 1 species